UUGAACGCUGGCGGCGUGCCUAACACAUGCAAGUCGAGCGGUAACAGGUGUAGCAAUACAUGCUGACGAGCGGCGAACGGGUGAGUAAUGCUUCGGAAUCUACCCAAUGGUGGGGAAUAACCAGCCGAAAGGUUGGCUAAUACCGCAUACGUCCCACGGGAGAAAGCAGGGGAUCGCAAGACCUUGCGCCAAUGGAUGAGCCGAAGUCGGAUUAGCUAGUUGGUAGGGAACGGCCUACCAAGGCGACGAUCCGUAGCUGGUCUGAGAGGACGACCAGCCACACUGGGACUGAGACACGGCCCAGACUCCUACGGGAGGCAGCAGUGGGGAAUAUUGGACAAUGGGGGAAACCCUGAUCAGCGACGCCGCGUGUGUGAAGAA
rnacentral:rRNA from 1 species